rnacentral:rRNA from 1 species
AGAGCGAACGCUGGCGGCAGGCCUAACACAUGCAAGUCGAGCGCCCGUAGCAAUACGGGAGCGGCAGACGGGAUAGUAACACGUGGGAACGCGCCCUUCGGUUCGGAAUAACUCAGGGAAACUUGAGCUAAUACCGAAUACGCCCUUACGGGGAAAGAUUUAUUGCCGAAGGAACGGCCCGCGUCCGAUUAGCUAGUUGGUGAGGUAAUGGCUCACCAAGGCUACGAUCGGUAGCUGGU